GGAAUGACAAGGAAACAGCGUUCAGUUGAUCAGCAGCCUAGCCACGUUCUCCAGCCAGGAGAAUAACUCACACAGCAAAUGAGGAUAAGGACCAGAUGAAAUGCCGGGGUCAACAAAGGCCAUGGUGACCUCUUAACAGGAAAACAGUAAAGGUGAUAUUGGAUGACCAGGACAACCUAAGAAACCUGGCUGCUGCCGGUGGACCGGUCAUUCUUAAGGGAUGUUCCCUAAACAAGCCUAUGUGACCACCCAGAAGCAGAGGCGUCUCCUCUUCUGACUUCCUGUCGCAAUUCCUGCACAUGCAGAAAUGAAUCUCACAAGUCCAUGUUUCCACAUAUUUUGACUUAUAUUUGUGUUAAUAAUAUUCAACUUUUUUACAGGGUGGGGCAACUGUAAAUUCAAAUGGAAAAUAACACAAUAAUAAAUAUCAAUACAAGGAUAAACUCUGUUUCAUGUACUCACAACUGUAAACCUAC